rnacentral:rRNA from 1 species
AUUGAACGCUGGCGGCAGGCUUAACACAUGCAAGUCGAGCGGGGGAAGGUAGCUUGCUACCGGACCUAGCGGCGGACGGGUGAGUAAUGCUUAGGAAUCUGCCUAUUAGUGGGGGACAACAUCUCGAAAGGGAUGCUAAUACCGCAUACGUCCUACGGGAGAAAGCAGGGGAUCUUCGGACCUUGCGCUAAUAGAUGAGCCUAAGUCGGAUUAGCUAGUUGGUGGGGUAAAGGCCUACCAAGGCGACGAUCUGUAGCGGGUCUGAGAGGAUGAUCCGCAACACUGGGACGGAGACGCGGCCCAGACUCCUACGGGAGGCAGCAGUGGGGAAUAGUGGACAAUGGGGGGAACCCUGAUCCAGCCAUGCCGCGUGUGUGAAGAAGGCCUUAUGGUUGUAAAGCACUUUAAGCGAGGAGGAGGCUACUCUAGUUAAUACCUAGGGAUAGUGGACGUUACUCGCAGAAUAAGCACCGGCUAACUCUGUGCCAGCAGCCGCCGUAA